rnacentral:siRNA from 1 species
AGACUAAGGUCAUGAAUGGUGAC